UUUCUAUGACGAUACUUUGUCCAGUUCUGCUACUGAAUGCAAGUGAUGACAUUAGUGACCCUGAGAAA
ensembl:snoRNA small nucleolar RNA SNORD38